AAACUUGAGAGUUUGAUCAUGGCUCAGAACGUACGCUGGCGGCACGCCUAACACAUGCAAGUCGAACGAAGUAGCAAUACUUAGUGGCAGACGGGUGAGUAACAUGUAGGUAUCUGCCCUUUGGCCUGGAAUAACACGAGGAAACUUGUGCUAAUACCGGAUAAGUCUUUACGGAGAAAGCUUUAUGCACCAUUGGAUGAGCCUGCACUUGAUUAGUUUGUUGGUGGGGUAAUGGCCUACCAAGACUGUGAUCAAUAGCUGAUUUGAGAGGAUGAUCAGCCACAUUGGGACUGAGACACGGCCCAAACUCCUACGGGAGGCAGCAGUGGGGAAUCUUGCACAAUGGAGGAAACUCUGAUGCAGCGAUGCCGCGUGAGUGAAGAAGGCCCUUGGGUUGUAAAGCUCUUUCGUCGGGGAAGAAAAUGACUGUACCCGAAUAAGAAGGUCCGGCUAACUUCGUGCCAGCAGCCGCGGUAAUACGAAGGGACCUAGCGUAGUUCGGAAUUACUGGGCUUAAAGAGUUCGUAGGUGGUUGAAAAAGUUAGUGGUGAAAUCCCAGAGCUUAACUCUGGAACUGCCAUUAAAACUUUUCAGCUAGAGUAUGAUAGAGGAAAGCAGAAUUUCUAGUGUAGAGGUGAAAUUCGUAGAUAUUAGAAAGAAUACCAAUUGCGAAGGCAGCUUUCUGGAUCAUUACUGACACUGAGGAACGAAAGCAUGGGUAGCGAAGAGGAUUAGAUACCCUCGUAGUCCAUGCCGUAAACGAUGUGUGUUAGACGUUGGAAAUUUAUUUUCAGUGUCGCAGGGAAACCGAUAAACACACCGCCUGGGGAGUACGACCGCAAGGUUAAAACUCAAAUGAAUUGACGGGGACCCGCACAAGUAGUGGAGCAUGUGGUUUAAUUCGAAGAUACGCGCAGAACCUUACCAACACUUGACAUGUUCGUCGCGACUCUAAGAGAUUAGAGUUUUCGGUUCGGCCGGACGAAACACAGGUGCUGCAUGGCUGUCGUCAGCUCGUGUCGUGAGAUGUUGGGUUAAGUCCCGCAACGAGCGCAACCCUUACUUUUAGUUGCCAUCAUUAAGUUGGGCACUCUGAAAGAACUGCCAGUGAUAAGCUGGAGGAAGGUGGGGAUGACGUCAAGUCCUCAUGGCCCUUACGUGUUGGGCUACACACGUGCUACAAUGGUAUCUACAACAGGAAGCAAGACUGCGAAGUUAAGCAAAUCCCUAAAAGAUACCUCAGUUCGGAUUGCACUCUGCAACUCGAGUGCAUGAAGCUGGAAUUACUAGUAAUCGUGGAUCAGCGUGCCACGGUGAAUGCGUUCCCGGGUCUUGUACACACCGCCCGUCACACCAUGGGAGUUGGUUCUACCUUAAGGCAAGGUUUCAAACCCUUGACCACGGUAUAGUCAGCGACUGGGGUGAAGUCGUAACAAGGUAGCCGUAGGGGAACCUGCGGCUGGAUUACCUCCUUU
rnacentral:rRNA from 1 species